rnacentral:lncRNA from 1 species
UCUCUGCAUACUAAAGGUCCCCCACUAUCACCCUGGAACAUUAUCCAUCAUAUUGGUCCUGAGACACCACAGUGUGAGGAUGUCAGGCAUUGGUAACAUUGAAGGAUCUUCAACAUCUUUAUGGAGAACUUUGUGUGAGAGGCCCUCCACAACCACCACACGUUCGUUUCUAUCUGUGGAAGAGUGAUGUGCACCCGACAUUGAUCUGACAGCAGGCACCAACAGAGAACUGAAAGACCUUACCAACAGACUAAAAUGGAAACCAGCACUGACAAAGGUGAAGUCCCAGCCAUUGGCAACGGCAAAGAAGAUUUUCAUAAACAGGCUUGAUCAUAACACACCUCGCUCACCUGCUAUACCUGUUCGUACCUGAGAUGCCCCAGCCUGUGACGUAGCAAGGAAUGGUGGAACUCCACGUGCGUUGUCGGCGUGGAAGGCAAAUGGAAUGUUGCACAGAGGUGAAAUUCAGAGGCUGAUGAAGUCUCAGGAGGGCUAUGUCAGCAUUGUAGAUGAAGUUGUAGGCUGGGUGCAAGACGACCUCGGACACUCCUGUCUCAGUGUCCAGCAGUCAUGACCCACUGGUCAGCAACUAGAGACCCCCCACACAGAAAACUACCUCCAGCUGUGAUGGCCACCAUCCAGGGCCAUUCACCCUCCACAGACUCUGCUCUACCCAUGGUCUCUGAAAGAAAGAAGCACAGUGAAUACAGAGAGGAACCCCAGGUCUGCAGUCAUCAGUGGACUUAGAUGUAUCCUGUUGAGGGACUUUCAGAACAGUUGGAAGCGAGGCUGUUGAGUUUGAUUUUACAAUCUGUUAACAAUGGGGGCUACUGUUAUUUUGUUGUGGGAGCGAGAGUUUUGUUUUUCUGAAUUGUGAAGUUAUAGUGAGCGUUAUAAUUAAGAAUGUUAUAAUUAAGACAAUUAAAUUAGACAGAGUCUACAGGAGA